AUUGAACGCUGGCGGCAUGCCUUACACAUGCAAGUCGAACGAGUGGCGGACGGGUGAGUACUGUCUGGGACCCUGCCUGAUGGCGGGGUAUCACUACUGGUAACUGUCGCUACUACCGCACACCAUCCGCUGUGCCCAGAUGGGAUGCGCGUGUUGGUGGGGUACCGGCUCACCACGGCGACGAUCCCUAGCUGGUCUGAGAGGAUGACCAGCCACACUGGAACUGAGACACGGUCCAGACUCCUACGGGAGGCAGCAGUGGGGAAUUUUGGACAAUGGGCGCAAUCCUGAUGCAGCCAUCCCGCGUGUACGAAGAAGGCCGUCGGGUUGUAAAGUACGUUUAGCAGGGAGGCGUUACCGGCAGAAGAAGCACCGGCUAACUACGUGCCAGCAGCCGCGGUAAUUC
rnacentral:rRNA from 1 species